rnacentral:tRNA from 1 species
GCCUUCGUGGUGUAAUGGUCAGCACGCUCGGCGCGUAUUCGAGAGGUCCGAGGUUCGAGUCCCUGCGUGAGCA